AACCAUUCUCACCUGCGGCUAGACCUGCGGAAGGAUCAUUAUCGAGUUGCAAAACUCCAACCCUUUGUGAACAUACCUCAGUCGUUGCUUCGGCGGUGGACGGCCUGUUUUUCGGAACGGCCGGAAGCCGCCGGAGGUUCCAAACUCGUAUUUUUUAGUGUAUCUCUGAGCCUGAAAACAAAUAAUCAAAACUUUUAACAACGGAUCU
rnacentral:misc_RNA from 1 species